rnacentral:rRNA from 1 species
AUUGAACGCUGGCGGCAUGCCUUACACAUGCAAGUCGAACGGCAGCACGGGAGCAAUCCUGGUGGCGAGUGGCGAACGGGUGAGUAAUAUAAUCGGAACGUGCCCGGUCGUGGGGGAUAACGUAGCGAAAGCUACGCUAAUACCGCAUACGAUCUACGGAUGAAAGCGGGGGAUCGCAAGACCUCGCGCGAUUGGAGCGGCCGAUAUCAGAUUAGGUAGUUGGUGAGGUAAAGGCUCACCAAAGCCGACGAUCUGUAGCUGGUCUGAGAGGACGACCAGCCA